AAUAAGCCCGCGCGUGGCGCCCGGCCCAGAAAGGUACAAUAACUGUAUAUUUUAACUUAAUGGUUUUUUGGGGGGCAUGCAAAUUUCUGUGAGCAGAUUGUGUUGAGGCCUGGGCUUGGAGCGGCCUCCCUGAGCCCCAGAAGCCCCCCGGAGCACCCCUGGCUCAGUGAAGGUUGCCCGUGUCAAAAUCGAGAUAUCAAACACCGAGGCUGAAAGACAAGUUGAAGAACCUGCCAGAAGCGCUCUGUGGCAGAGAUUAAAACAAUUUCAGAAGCAGGCACCCAGCGCUUCUCUUUGGAUGACUCCACCUCCUAAAGGUUCAUCUACCUAUCAAUAGCGCCACCAGCUGGGGACCAGAUGAACAACACCGGAACUCUGUGAAUCCAGUUCAGAUCUGAGUGACAGGGAGGCAGGACUCAGAGGAACGGGGCUGCAUCAGGUAAAAGUGUUUGGCCUUUACCUCCCCAGUCCUGUGAUGAGAGGCACACAUCCUGCAUUCGUGGAUCUAGGUGAUCCUGUAUUCAUGGGGUACUAGGCGUCAAACCCCGGGCCUCCUGUAUCCUAGGGCAAACACUCGACCAACUGAGCCCCACCCCAACCCUACUGAUCAGUUUUUAGAUAUAGAACCCACACUUGUACUCCUGCAACAGAUUUCAUUUGCUGUUCUGAUAUACACUCCUUGUAGCUUGCUACUGGGUUCAAUUUGCUAGUGUCUCAUUCAAGGAUUUCUAUAUCUGUAUUCAUUCAAUAUACUUACUGAUGUUUUCUUCUUGCUUUGUGUUGGGAAGAAUACUGAUCUUGUAUAAUGAAUAUUUUUAGAGACCUCUGAGCAGAAUCUGUGUUAAUUAUUCUUUAAACAUUGGGGAGAACUAUUAGGAAAGCCUGACUCUGAGCUUUUAUUUGUUAGAAGCCAUUUAAUUGCCCAUUUAACCUAUCAUUAUUAUAAUCAUCAUUUUUAUUGUGGGAAGUGGACUAGGUCCUGAGUGAAUGCGUAUUGUUGGACCAAUGCCUCAGACCCAUGAAAAUGGCAAAGCCUUCCCCUGUCCAUGUGCGUGUACAUGUGUGUGCGGGGAAAUGUCAACUGCAGCAUCCUCCUCCCAGAUAUUUAUAGCUCCAGUCUUCUCCUUAGAGACCUUCCACUGAGACUCGAUAACCCUCCUCCUAUCGCUAUACCUAAUGUCCUGAGUUUCCAGAUUGUACAGUAGAUGCCCUCCAUCAGAGCAAGGGCAGCCCUCCCAGUUCCAGAUUGUUUCUGUGUACCUGCCAUUUCUUCAUUCUCACCUUUCCCCAAGUCACGUUUCCAGGACCAAGCCAUGCAGGAUGUUGCUUACUAGCAUCGUCGUCAUCAUCAAUGUCAAUGUCAACAUCAAAAUCAACAUCAUUGUCAGCAGUGUCAUAGUCGUCGUCGUCGUCGUCGUCAUCAUCAUCAUCAUCACCAUCAUCACCAUCAUCUAUGGAUGAACGGACAUUUUGCCUCCAUGUAUGUCUACACAACAUGUGCAAGCAAUGCUCAGUGGCCAGAAGAAGGCCCUGAAGUUGGAGCUGCGGAUGGUUCUAAGCAGUCAAAUGCCAGAGCUGGGGACUAAGAGCAGCACACACUCUCAACUGCUGACCCAUCUCUCUAGCCCCUUUUUAAUGAAGAUAUUCACAGCUCUAAUUUUCCCUCUGAGCAUGCUUUGCUGCUCAUAAAUGUCAGCGUGUUGUGUUUCGGGGAGAGACACUUUGUAUGUUUUUUUUACUCCACUCCAUUAAAUCUCGUGUUGUAGUCGAAUAUACUGUUUUCCCUCAAGAAUGUUCCGUAUCAACUGGGAAGAAAUGGCCCGUCUGCCAUUGUUGUCGCAGGUGGAGUGGAGUGUGCUGCAUGGGUGUCUGCUGAGUUGUGGGUCUUGCUGAUGCCUUCAGGCCUUGGCUUUCUGCCUCUUUCUCAUUGUUCUUUCCAUUAUUGACAAUCCUGCACUGAAGCUCCAGCUAGGAAGGAAGAAUUCUGUCUUCCAAUUCAAGCUGCUAGCAUUUACUUCCUCUGUUUUGGAGGUCUGUCGUUAGGUGCACAUAUGUUAAUAAUCACAAUGGCCCUUUUAUCAUCAUUUAAUGUAUUUCCUUGUGUUUAAAAAAAUUCCUCUCUCUCUCUCUCUCUCUCUCUCUCUCUCUCUGUGUGUGUGUGUGUGUGUGUGUGUGUGAGAGAGAGAGAGAACAUUUGCCAUACUGUGAAUGUGUGCAUGUGCAGUUCAAAGGACCUGGAGAUUGAGUUCGGAUGGCCAACCUUGGAGGCAGGCAGCUCCCCACUGAGCCAUCUUCACUUCUGAUAUCAGCACAUGCGUUCUAUCUCUCUUAGACUACUUUUGCACACAGAAUCUUUCUCUACCCUUUUACUUUCAACCUAUUUCUGUCUAUUCAUUUAAGAUGAAUCUCUUAUAUACAGUACAUAGUCAGGUCAUUUAAAAAGCCCAUUCUCCCAAUCUUCUACCAUUUAAUUGGAUAGUUUAACCCACUUACAUUUAAUGUAAUUAUUAUUAAGGAAUAAUUUACUUUUAUAAUUUUACUCCAUUACUGUCUUAUUUUUAUUACAUAAACCAUCUUCAUUUCUUUGUCAUUUAUCUCACUGUACAUUUUAAAGUUAUUUUCAUAGUAUUUUCCCUGGGGAUUACAAUUAAAGUAUAAUUUAUAACAUUC
ensembl:lincRNA C230014O12Rik RIKEN cDNA C230014O12 gene